UGUAUGCAUGUGGUGUCUUACUAAUGAC
rnacentral:piRNA from 1 species